GCCUCAGUGGCGCAGUGGUUAGAGUAGUACUGCAGACUACUUAUGCUGACUGCCUGCAGUUUGGCAGUUCAAAUCCCACCAGGCUCAAGGUUGACUCAGCUUUCCAUCCUUCCGAGAUGGGUAAAAUGAGGACCCAAAUUGUUGGGAGCAAUAUGCUGAUUCUGUAAACCACAUAGAGAGGCCUGUAAAGCACUUUAAAGUGGUAUAUAAGUCAAAGUGCUCCUGCUCUUUCUAUCUUCCUAUAGUUAUGGAAAUAGCUUAAUUUGAAAAUCGAUAUCUAUUAUAUGGAUAGAGAAUAUGCAUACAGAUAUGAUAGAUAAUAGAUGAUUCAGUUACAAAAACAAUGAUUUUGCUGACAAUGAACAAGAAAGAUUGGUUGGUUAAAUAUAACAAGUGCUUUGUAUAUUUUUGUUGAUAAAAUUUCACAUCAAAAUGUUUCAGUGUCUCAUAUGCAAUACAUGUAUCAAAAUCCAAAUUUUUGUUAAGCUAAAAUAUACUAGAAAUUUGUAAAGGCAAUUUUCUCAAUGUUUUAUAGGCCUGGCACUGAAUUUUAUUUUUCCAUUUUUUUAUUUUCAGCAUUUAAAUUGUUCACCUAAAUAAACUUUCCCCCCCCCAUACUACAAGGCUAUUCAUGCAUAUGCAACGAAAACAAUUGUAGAUUCUGUGAAAUAUUUUUAAAGGCAGAAAAUACAUUUUAUUUUUGUAAUUUAAGAUACAUUAACCACAUUGUUUGUAACAAUUGGUGACUUACAUUUCAGAUGUGCCAUAUAAGCAGUCAUCAUCAGUAGCUGUAGCUGGGGCUGUAAUAGGCGCAGUACUUGCUCUCUUUAUUAUUACCAUCUUUAUCAUAGUGUUAUUGACUCCCAGAAAAAAGAGAUCAUCUUAUUUGGACAAAAUGAUUGAUCUUCCACCAACACACAAGCCUACAUCUUCCUAUGAGAAAAGAAAUCUUUCUCGCUCUCAGAAAGAAAUAAUCAAUGCAAAAAUGAUAAAUUGCAGCCGAUUUAGCUAUGAAGAUAAAAACUCUGCAUCUCAAGACAGAGAUCAACAAAUGUACCCAGCACCGAAAGAAACAAAUUGCAAAGAUUGGAUCAAUAAGAAAAAUCCAAAUACAAGCAAUGGUAGAACAUAUAGCAAUCCCAGGGAACAAUAUGUAUGAUUGUUUGUGAACUAAUGUUGAAAGAUUGAUUAAGAUGAUUUGUCUAAUCAUCAUUUUACCUACUUUUUGAUAAUCUGUGUGUUCAGGUUAGUAGUUUGCUAUUUUUGUGGAAAAAUAUAAAUGUUUAAACUAUGUUAUCAACCUUUCUCUCUGCAGUUUAAGAAAUGUCAAUUUAUUAACUGUUAAUUAUAUGUGCAUAUAAUAAUGUUUAGAAUCUUUUCUACCUAUUCAUGUGAAUUAUUUCUACCUGAAACCUUAUUUAUUAGCAUAGCAUUCUUCUCCCUUCUAUAUAAGUUUUCCUGGUUUUGCAUAGUUGUUAACCUACUCCAUUUUGUAGUAAGAGGAAAGGCCACAUGGGGUUCUUUUGAUACUACUUUUAGCCCUGAUCACAGUGAUUUGCUUCAGGAAAAAAAUGUUUAUGUGUCAUGCAGAGUGUUGAUAAGUGCUGCCCACUUCAUAUAUCAAUUAUACUUGUGCCCUUUUGCUAAUGUCUAGAGUUGACACUGGCCAACUAUACCUUGUCAUAUCUUCAAAAAUACAGUACUAUCACUUAAACCUAUAGACUGAAACUUUUAGGAUUAGUUGUAAUAUAAAUUAUUUUUAAAAGCUCAUGUAUUACCCAUGUUAGAAAUUAUAGU